UACGUAGGGUGCAAGCGUUGUCCGGAAUUAUUGGGCGUAAAGAGCUCGUAGGCGGUCUGUCGCGUCGGAUGUGAAAACCCAGGGCUCAACCCUGGGCCUGCAUUCGAUACGGGCAGGCUAGAGUUCGGUAGGGGAGACUGGAAUUCCCGGUGUAGCGGUGAAAUGCGCAGAGAUCGGGAGGAACACCCGUAGCGAAGGCGGUUCUCUGGGCCGGUACUGACGCUGAGGAGCGAAAGCGUGGGGAGCAAACAGG
rnacentral:rRNA from 1 species